rnacentral:rRNA from 1 species
UACGGAGGGUGCAAGCGUUAUUCGGAAUCACUGGGCGUAAAGCGCACGUAGGCGGCCUAGCAAGUCAGGUGUGAAAUCCCUCGGCUCAACCGAGGAAUAGCACUUGAAACUGCUGGGCUACGAGUCCUGGAGAGGGUGGCGGAAUUCCUGGUGUAGGAGUGAAAUCCGUAGAUAUCAGGAGGAACACCGGUGGCGAAGGCGGCCACCUGGACAGGUACUGACGCUGAGGUGCGAAAGCGUGGGUAGCAAACAGGAUUAGAUACCCUGGUAGUCCACGCUGUAAACGAUGGAUGCUAGGUGCUGGGGGCGUAUGUCCUUCGGUGCCGCAGCUAACGCGUUAAGCAUCCCGCCUGGGGAGUACGGUCGCAAGGCUGAA